rfam:Oryza nivara chromosome 3, whole genome shotgun sequence.
GAUUUCAACUGAAAAAGUCAUCAACAACAAAGUUGUAUAACUUAUCAAGAUCUAUAACUUUUAUUUUGGUCAUUUCUUCAUCCGACAAAGUGUUAGUAACAUUGUUCACAAAAAUUCACAUAUCUCUCAUCUAGUUUUAUAAACUAUAACACAUAUAUGUAAUUUUUGUGAACAAUGUUACUAACACUUUGUCGGAUGAAGAAAUGACCAAAAUAAAAGUUAUAGAUCUUGAUGAGUUAUACAACUUUGUUGUUGAUGACUUUUUCAGUUGAAAUC